GAUGAACGCUGGCGGCGUGCCUAAUACAUGCAAGUCGAGCGAACAGACGAGGAGCUUGCUCCUCUGACGUUAGCGGCGGACGGGUGAGUAACACGUGGAUAACCUACCUAUAAGACUGGGAUAACUUCGGGAAGCCGGAGCUAAUACCGGAUAAUAUAUUGAACCGCAUGGUUCAAUAGUGAAAGACGGUUUUGCUGUCACUUAUACAUGGAUCCGCGCCGCAUUAGCUAGUUGGUAAGGUAACGGCUUACCAAGGCAACGAUGCGUAGCCGACCUGAGAGGGUGAUCGGCCACACUGGAACUGAGACACGGUCCAGACUCCUACGGGAGGCAGCAGUAGGGAAUCUUCCGCAAUGGGCGAAAGCCUGACGGAGCAACGCCGCGUGAGUGAUGAAGGUCUUCGGAUCGUAAAACUCUGUUAUUAGGGAAGAACAAAUGUGUAAGUAACUAUGCACGUCUUGACGGUACCUAAUCAGAAAGCCACGGCUAACUACGUG
rnacentral:rRNA from 1 species